GUUUGAUUCUGGCUCAGGAUGAACGCUGGCGGCAUGCCUAAUACAUGCAAGUCGAACGGAGUGAAGCCUUCGGGUUUCAUUCAGUGGCGAACGGGUGAGUAAUACGCAGGGAACCUGGCCAUGGCAGGGGGAUACACUCUGGAAACGGAGCAUAAGACCCCAUAGGCAGUAAGGCGGCAUCGCCUUGCUGUUAAAGAAAGCUGAAAGGCUUUGGCGAUGGAUGGACCUGCGGUGCAUUAGCUUGUUGGUGAGGCAACGGCUUACCAAGGCGAUGAUGCAUAGCCGGCCUGAGAGGGCGGACGGCCACACUGGGACUGAGAUACGGCCCAGACUCCUGCGGGAGGCAGCAGUAGGGAAUUUUCGUCAAUGGGCGCAAGCCUGAACGAGCAAUGCCGCGUGAGUGAGGAAGGUCUUCGGACUGUAAAGCUCUGUUGCCGGGGAAAAAGGGGAAAUGCAGGAAAUGGCAUUUUCAUGGAUGGUACCCGGCCAGAAAGCCACGGCUAACUACGUGCCAGCAGCCGCGGUAAUACGUAGGUGGCGAGCGUUAUCCGGAAUGAUUGGGCGUAAAGGGUGCGCAGGCGGUCUGUUAAGUCCGAAGGCAAAGGGAUGAGCUCAACUCAUUUAUGAUUCAGAAACUGGCAGACUUGAGGACAGGAGAGGGCGGUGGAACUCCAUGUGUAGCGGUAAAAUGCGCAGAGAUAUGGAAGAACACCAGUGGCGAAGGCGACCGCCUGGCCUGUGACCGACGCUGAGGCACGAAAGCGUGGGGAGCAAAUAGGAUUAGAUACCCUAGUAGUCCACGCCGUAAACGAUGAGGAGCAGGUGUUGGGAGUGAAAUCUCAGUGCCGAAGCCAACGCAGUGACUCCUCCGCCUGGGGAGUAUGCACGCAAGUGUGAAACUCAAAGGAAUUGACGGGGGCCCGCACAAGCGGUGGAGUAUGUGGUUUAAUUCGAAGCAACGCGAAGAACCUUACCAGGUUUUGACAUCGGAUGCGAGGCGCAGAGAUGCGCUGGAGGCUAUCAUCCAGACAGGUGGUGCAUGGUUGUCGUCAGCUCGUGUCGUGAGAUGUUCAGUUAAGUCUGGCAACGAGCGCAACCCCCGUGGUAUGUUACUAACGCAUUUGGGCGAGGACUCAUAUCAGACUGCCGGUGACAAACCGGAGGAAGGCGGGGAUGACGUCAAAUCAUCAUGCCCCUUAUGACCUGGGCUACACACGUACUACAAUGGCGUCUACAGAGGGAAGCGACCCUGAGAAGGGAAGCGAAACCGGAAAAGGGCGUCCCAGUUCGGAUUGAAGUCUGCAACCCGACUUCAUGAAGAUGGAAUCGCUAGUAAUCGCGGAUCAGCAUGCCGCGGUGAAUACGUUCCCGGGCCUUGUACACACCGCCCGUCAAACCAUGGAAGCCGGCAACGCCCGAAGCCGGUGGCAUAACCUUUUAGGAGUGAGCCGUCGAAGGCGGGGCCGAUGACUGGGGUUAAGUCGUAACAAGGUAUCC
rnacentral:rRNA from 1 species